UACGGCUGUAUCACAUUGAAACACUGAUUCCCGUACGAUCACCAAGGUUAAGCAACAUAGAACCUGGCCAGUACCUAGAUGGGUGACCGCUUGUGAAUACCAAGUGCU